CCUACGGGAGGCAGCAGUGGGGAAUAUUGGACAAUGGGGGGAACCCUGAUCCAGCCAUGCCGCGUGUGUGAAGAAGGCCCUCGGGUUGUAAAGCACUUUCAGUGAGGAAGAACGCCUGGUGGUUAAUACCCAUCAGGAAAGACAUCACUCACAGAAGAAGCACCGGCUAACUCCGUGCCAGCAGCCGCGGUAAUACGGAGGGUGCGAGCGUUAAUCGGAAUUACUGGGCGUAAAGCGCGCGUAGGUGGCUUGAUAAGCCGGUUGUGAAAGCCCCGGGCUCAUCCUGGGAACGGCAUCCGGAACUGUCAAGCUAGAGUGCAGGAGAGGAAGGUAGAAUUCCCGGUGUAGCGGUGAAAUGCGUAGAGAUCGGGAGGAAUACCAGUGGCGAAGGCGGCCUUCUGGACUGACACUGACACUGAGGUGCGAAAGCGUGGGUAGCAAACAGGAUUAGAUACCCUAGUAGUC
rnacentral:rRNA from 1 species